AGCUCUGUGGUCAAGUGGUAAGACGGGUGGUUGCAACCCACCAGUCCCCAGUUCGAUUCUGGGCGGGGCUUCCA
rnacentral:tRNA from 1 species